CUCAGAAGCUGAAGCAGAUCGGACAUAUCUGGAGUAUAACUCUCUCAGUGUCAGUCUAACCCGAGGGAGGCAGCAUCAGCACCUGGAUUCUGUUCUUUGACCUGUGAAGACUUGUGGUGAAGAUGCGUCCAUUCCCUUGGAGGUUCAUCUUCUUGAUGCUGGCGGUUGUGGCUUGCGUGAGUGAGGGUGCACAGUGCCCCAGGGUGUGUCCCCAGCACAUCUCCCCUGUGUGUGGCUCCAACCACAUCACCUACGCCAAUGGCUGCAAGCUGGAUCAAGCAGCCUGUCAUGACCAUUUCUUGAGGAAGAUGCACAAUGGCCAUUGCAAGGGGAAGCCUAACUGCGACAAGGGUUGUUUAUCCUAUGGGGCCAACGUGUGCGGGUCGGACAAGAAGACCUACAGUAACUCCUGUGUACUGAACUUCGAGGCCUGCAUGAACCCUAAUCUCAAUCUAAGGGUCGCCUAUAAGGGCCGAUGUCGUUAGAUUAGAUUCCAGCUUGCAACUCAGACGCGAGGAACGAAGCAACGGCUUGGACAAACCCAGAAAGGAUUCAUCUUAUCUCUAAGACUCUCACACAACUUGGCAAUGGCGUCUCACCCUUUGUUUGAUCACCAAUUCUGACUGCAGUCGUGCUGCGCAGUGUGGGGGUUUUGGUCACUGUAUUUGUAACUUGAGGAUUCUCCAUAUAAAUAUACUAAAUAAAAGUUGAAAAUUAUGCAAUUUU